ACACCUGUGCAACCGCACGACCAUCGUUUUAAGCAGCUUUGAGCUCACGAUGCUAGGCGAGUCUUCACAAAAAA
rnacentral:sRNA from 1 species